AUUGAACGCUGGCGGCAGGCCUAACACAUGCAAGUCGAACGAGUGGCGGACGGGUGAGUAAUGUCUGGGAAACUGCCUGAUGGAGGGGGAUAACUACUGGAAACGGUAGCUAAUACCGCAUAUUGUGAGAUGGACCGGCGUUGUAUUAGCUGGGUGGUGAGGUAAAGGCUCACCAAGGCGACGAUACAUCGCCGACCUGAGAGUGUGAUCGGCCACCCGGGGACUGAGACACGGCCCAGACUCCUACGGGAGGCAGCAGUGGGGAAUAUUGCACAAUGGGCGCAAGCCUGAUGCAGCCAUGCCGCGUGUAUGAAGAAGGCCUUCGGGUUGUAAAGUACUUUCAGCGGGGAGGCGUUACCCGCAGAAGAAGCACCGGCUAACUCCGUGCCAGCAGCCGCGGUAAUAC
rnacentral:rRNA from 1 species